rnacentral:rRNA from 1 species
UGAGGAAUAUUGGUCAAUGGGCGAGAGCCUGAACCAGCCAAGUAGCGUGAAGGAUGACUGCCCUAUGGGUUGUAAACUUCUUUUAUAAAGGAAUAAAGUCGGGUAUGGAUACCCGUUUGCAUGUACUUUAUGAAUAAGGAUCGGCUAACUCCGUGCCAGCAGCCGCGGUAAUACGGAGGAUCCGAGCGUUAUCCGGAUUUAUUGGGUUUAAAGGGAGCGUAGAUGGAUGUUUAAGUCAGUUGUGAAAGUUUGCGGCUCAACCGUAAAAUUGCAAUUGAUACUGGCAGUCUUGAGUACAGUUGAGGUAGGCGGAAUUCGUGGUGUAGCGGUGAAAUGCUUAGAUAUCACGAAGAACUCCGAUUGCGAAGGCAGCUUACUAAACUGCCACUGACAUCGAUGCUCGAAAGUGUGGGUAUCAAACAGG